CCUACGGAGUGCAGCAGUGAGGAAUAUUGGUCAAUGGACGGAAGUCUGAACCAGCCAUGCCGCGUGCAGGAAGACGGCUCUAUGAGUUGUAAACUGCUUUUGUACAAGGGUAAACCUGAAUACGGGUAUUCAGCUGAAAGUACUGUACGAAUAAGGAUCGGCUAACUCCGUGCCAGCAGCCGCGGUAAUACGGAGGAUCCAAGCGUUAUCCGGAUUUAUUGGGUUUAAAGGGUGCGUAGGCGGAUUGAUAAGUUAGAGGUGAAAUGUCCGAGCUUAACUCGGGAACUGCCUCUAAUACUGUUGAUCUAGAGAGUAGAUGCGGUAGGCGGAAUGUAUGGUGUAGCGGUUAAAUGCUUAGAGAUCAUACAGAACACCGAUUGCGAAGGCAGCUUACCAAUCUAUAUCUGACGUUGAGGCACGAAAGCGUGGGGAGCAAACAGGAUUAGAUACCCUUGUAGUC
rnacentral:rRNA from 1 species